rnacentral:rRNA from 1 species
CGGACGGGUGAGUAACGCGUGGGUAACCUACCCUGUACACACAGAUAACAUACCAAAGGUAUGCUAAUACGGGAUAAUAUAUUUGAGAGGCAUCUCUUGAAUAUCAAAGGUGAGCCAGUACAGGAUGGACCCGCGUCUGAUUAGCUAGUUGGUAAGGUAACGGCUUACCAAGGCGGCGAUCAGUAGCCGACCUGAGAGGGUGAUCGGCCACAUUGGAACUGAGACACGGUCCAA